GAGCGGAACUUCCUCAGGGACCACAAUAAUACAAAAUAAAAAUAUUGCAAUUACAAUCAAUAAUAGCAAAUAGCAAUAGGAUUUGCUAUUAUUGAUUGUAAUUGCAAUAUUUUUCUUUUGUAUUAUUGUGGUCCCUGAGGAAGUUCCGCU